UACGUAGGUGGCAAGCGUUGUCCGGAUUUACUGGGCGUAAAGAGCGCGCAGGCGGUCGUUCAAGUCGCGUGUGAAAGCCCCCCGGCUCAACUGGGGAGGGUCACGCGAUACUGAUCGACUCGAAAGGCAGGAGAGGGAAGUGGAAUUCCCGGUGUAGUGGUGAAAUGCGUAGAUAUCGGGAGGAACACCAGUGGCGAAGGCGACUUCCUGGUCUGUAACUGACACUGAGGCGCGAAAAGCGUGGGGGAGCGAACAGG
rnacentral:rRNA from 1 species